UAACCUGUGGGCAGUGCCUACUGCUAAAAAAAGUGCAAGGGAUGCUAUCUACCUCUUGUGAAAUACUUCAGGCAGCUGGUCAACAAACCGCACACGCCAAACAAGGAAGCAAAACCAACUGAAGGGCUCUCAGUCAACUUUCCAAUGUGCUAAAGCUGAAGGUUAACAGGGGAAAAAAACUCACAGGAAUUCAUUAACAAGGGAUAGACAGCUUACUGGACAUAAGGCUUUUUAGUUUUCCUCCUCACCACUGGUCUUUCCCCGUCACUCACUGAAUCAGUGGAAUUCAUUGCUCCAGCAUGAGGCUGAACAUAGCCAAGAACAAAGAAGACUCUAAAGUUUCUGAGUGGAAUUUUAAAAUUAAAGCUGAAAAAUCUCUGAGAGGUCCAGGCUAAUGGAGGCCAGAUCGUUUCAUCGCUUUCCCGCUUGAAACAUAAGGAGUUCGUGGUGACGAAGGAGGGCAAGAAAGUGCCGUCGAGCCUCGCACCAGCAAUCAAACGCUUCACCAGGAGGAGACGCGUGUCCCUUCCACGUAGCCAGGAGAACCUGCUGAGA